rnacentral:lncRNA from 1 species
AACAUGGCAGAUCUAUGAGAGUAUUUUCCCCCACAUGCAAUUGUUUCCUGCUGUCAGGCUUUACCUCAGAGGGCAGCUGUCAUCCUCCUAAAUGUAUGAAGUUGUAUUAUGCAGCACAUUUUGAAAAUGGUGAUUUUCAACGGGCUUCUGAGAGAUCUUCAAAUAUUCUGGAAACAGUCUUUAUUAGAUAUGUGACCUGUGCAGUCAAAUGAAAAAUGGAACAUGUGCAUGACUAUGGAGGUGUUAAGAAAACUACAGCACAUCACAAUCACAUCCUGGAGGAAACUACUGGGGAAAUGGAAGCUGUUGAGUCUGCAUGAGGAAGUUCCCACAAAGUCACCAGUUGAUGGCCAAUUGGAUUGUUUCCAAGUUUCAGCUGUCACGAAAUGUGCUACUAUGAACAUGGGUGGACAUAUAUCACUGUGAUCCUCUUCUGUUGCCAGUUCUGGGGGUCCAGGUGGUUGAGAAUCAGAGCAUUCCAUCUCAUUUCCCUUUGGAGUUGCUGUUGGCCCAGAACCCUUCUACUCUGCACUGGGAGCUGUGGUACAUUGCCCUGGAAGACUCCCCUGCACUGGCAACUGUUGCACAUCAACCCGGAAGCCUGCUCUGUGGUGGGAGCUGUCUCAUGUAGACCUAGAAGCCUCCUCUAUGCCGGGAGUGGUGGUAAGUUGGCCCAGAAGCCUCCUACUCUACACUGGGAGCUGUGGCACAUCAACCUGGAAGUCUUCUCUGCACUGAGAGCUGUAGCAUGUCGACCUGGAACCCUUCUCUGUGCUGGGAGCUGUAGCACAUCGACCCGGAAGCCUCCUCCAUGCUGGGAACACUGGUAUGUUGGCCCAGAAGCCUCCUACUCUGCACUGGGAGCUGUGGCAUGUUGCUCCAGAAGAUUUCUCUGUGCUGGGAGCUGUAGUAUGUUGACCCAGAACCCUCCUCUGCGCUGGGAGCAGUGGUAGGUUGACCCAGAAGCCUCCUACUCUGCACUGGAAGCUGUAGUACAUUGACCUGGAAGCCUCUUCUGCACUGGGAGCUGUAGCAGAGUUUGAUUGAGUUCUAGUAUUUUGUUGUUUAUUUUUUGUCUAGUUGAUCUAUUUGUGAGAAUGGGGUAUUAAGGUUUCCCCACUACUAUUGUAUUAGUGCUUAUAUGAUUUUUCAUAUCCAUUAGUAUUUGUUUUCUAUAGCUGGGCACACUAGUGUUUGGUGCAUAUAUAUUAAUGAUUGUCAUCUCUUCCUCUUGGAUUGUUCCCUUUACAAGGGUGUAGUGUACUUCUUUGUCUCUCUUAAUCAGUUAUGGUUUGAAAUCCACUUGAUCUGCCAAGAGGAUAGCUAGUCCUGCUUUUUUUUUGGUUCCUGUCACAUGGAGUAUUGUUUUCCACCCUUUAACUUUUAGUGUAUAAGUUUCUUUUUGAAUUAAGUGUGUUUCUUGUAUGCAGCAUAUCAUUGGAUCUUGCUUCUUGACCCAUUCUGUCAGUCUAUUUCUUUUGAUUGGUCAAUUGAGACCAUUAACAUUGAUGGUUAUAAUUGCUUUGUAUUGACUUAUCCUUGUCAUGAC